rnacentral:rRNA from 1 species
AUUGAACGCUGGCGGCAGGCCUAACACAUGCAAGUCGAACGAGUGGCGGACGGGUGAGUAAUGUCUGGGAAACUGCCUGAUGGAGGGGGAUAACUACCGGAAACGGUAGCUAAUACCGCAUACCAUCGGAUGUGCCCAGAUGGGCUUAGCGAGUAGGUGGGGUAACGGCUCAACUAGGCGACUAUCCCUAGCUGGUCUGAGAGGAUGCACAGCCAAACUGGUACUGAGACACGGUCCAGACGCCUACGGGAGGCAGCAGUUGGGAAUAUUGCACAAUGGCCGAAAUCCUGAGGCAGCCAUGCCGCGUGUGUGAAGAAGGCCUUCGGGUUGUAAAGCACUUUCAGCGGGGAGGCGUUACCCGCAGAAGAAGCACCGGCUAACUCCGUGCCAGCAGCCGCGGUAAUUC